UACGUAGGGGGCAAGCGUUGUCCGGAUUUAUUGGGCGUAAAGAGCGUGUAGGCGGCUUCACAGGUCCGCUGUGAAAACUCGAGGCUCAACCUCGAGCUGUCGGUGGAAACCGUGUGGCUAGAGUCCGGAAGAGGAGAGUGGAAUUCCCGGUGUAGCGGUGAAAUGCGCAGAUAUCGGGAAGAACACCCGUGGCGAAGGCGGCUCUCUGGGACGGUACUGACGCUGAGACGCGAAAGCUAGGGGAGCGAACGGG
rnacentral:rRNA from 1 species